rnacentral:lncRNA from 10 species
AGUCUGAAUCACCGGGACAGCUAAUGAGAUGAAGAUGGACAAGUUGAAGAAACGUCACAGGAGCCCAAGAGGCUGGCCAGAGAGCCCAGGACUCAGUUCCUCUGUGGGAAGGCACACACACUCUGUAAGUUAUAGCUCUGGGUCCCAGUCUGUCUCACUGGGUAUGGGCCUUCCAAAUCCCCAUCUUUCAAGGGUUCCUUCCUCCAAAAUCUGUCCUCAUCUCCCCAGCCACAAUCACCUGCUUUUUCCUCUACAACCUUGUUAGCCAGCCAUUUGAAUGUCCAUCUCCUGCACUAGACAGAAGUAGGGGCUGUUCCACCUUUGUUCUCCGGAGUGCCUGGCACACAGCAGGUGUUCAUCAAAUCGAAAAUAGCAUUGAAUGAGGGUUGGUCAAGAAACUUGGUCAGGAGGUCAGAAACAUGGGCCCUGCCCGAGCAGCAAGUCACCAUGACCCAGGCCAACCUGAGGACAAAGGCCUCAACUAUUCCUUGAACCAUGCUGAUAAUCAGGACAUUCCGAAGAAACAAGUGAUGUGGAUUUCAGUGAGGGCCUACCUCCAGAAGACUUCCUUCAGCCUGAUGUCUUCCUCAAGACCAGCCAACCCCGAACCAUGAGCUGAUGGGGCCACGUGCAUUUCACAGGUUACUGACUGGGUGGGCUGAAUGAUGGCCCCCAAAGACAGCCAGGUCCUAACCCCUGGAACCUGUGAAUAUUACCCUACAUGGCAAAACGGACUUUGCUGGUGUGACUGAAAGCCCUUGAGUGGGGAGAUUAUCCCGGAUUAUUCAGAUGGAUCUUAAAUGUAAUCACAAGGGUCCUUCUAAAAGAGAGGCAGAGGAAGAUUUUACUACAGAAGACAAACAAAGCCAUAUGACAAAGGAAGCAGACAGAGAGAGAGAUUUGGAAAUGCUAUGCUGCUGGCUUUGAAGAUGGGUAAGAGGCCAAGAGCCAAAGAAUGCAAACACUGCAGCUCUGGAUGCUAGAAAGGGCA